ACAUUUUCCAGCCCAUUCA
rnacentral:miRNA from 1 species